UGCAAGUCGAGCGGUAGCACAGGGAGCUUGCUCCUGGGUGACGAGCGGCGGACGGGUGAGUAAUGUCUGGGAAACUGCCCGAUGGAGGGGGAUAACUACUGGAAACGGUAGCUAAUACCGCAUAACGUCUUCGGACCAAAGUGGGGGACCUUCGGGCCUCACACCAUCGGAUGUGCCCAGAUGGGAUUAGCUAGUAGGUGAGGUAAUGGCUCACCUAGGCGACGAUCCCUAGCUGGUCUGAGAGGAUGACCAGCCACACUGGAACUGAGACACGGUCCAGACUCCUACGGGAGGCAGCAGUGGGGAAUAUUGCACAAUGGGCGCAAGCCUGAUGCAGCCAUGCCGCGUGUGUGAAGAAGGCCUUCGGGUUGUAAAGCACUUUCAGCGAGGAGGAAGGGUUCGGUGUUAAUAGCACUGUUCAUUGACGUUACUCGCAGAAGAAGCACCGGCUAACUCCGUGCCAGCAGC
rnacentral:rRNA from 1 species